rnacentral:misc_RNA from 1 species
AGAGAGGAAGUUCCGGCGUCCACGUGGUGACGCCACGUCCAAUGGCCGUAAUCCACAUGAACUUUGUUGAGUGUGUUCGCCUGUCAUCUGCACCGCGCCACGGAAACUUACGCAGGACUCACUACAGCCUUUAAAUGGUACGAUGUAUUGACAGCAGAGGGGGCCGCGGACGGGCGGGCAGUAGCAGCAGCAGCCAGUAGAGGCCAGCACUUGAGCAGCGGGGCCCGGCUGAGGAGGAGCGGGCGCCAUGGAGCUGGCACACACCAAGUCCACCAAGGAGGUGCUGGACUACUUCGGCACAGACCCCGAGCGAGGCCUCACCGAGUCCCAGGUCAAAAAGCUACAGGACAAGUAUGGUCCCAACGAACUACCUGCAGAAGAGGGAAAGCCUCUGUGGCAACUUAUACUCGAACAGUUUGACGACCUUCUAGUGAAGAUUUUAUUAUUAGCUGCUGUUAUUUCAUUUGUGUUGGCGCUAUUCGAGGAGCAUGAAGACUCCAUCACAGCCUUUGUUGAACCUUUCGUCAUCUUGCUCAUUCUGAUUGCCAAUGCCGUUGUGGGUGUGUGGCAGGAACGUAAUGCAGAGAGCGCGAUAGAAGCGCUCAAAGAGUACGAGCCCGAGAUGGGCAAAGUUAUACGCGCCAACAAACAGGGUGUCCAAAAGAUUCGUGCCAAGGAAAUCGUCCCUGGAGAUCUUGUGGAGGUGUCCGUUGGUGACAAGGUCCCUGCCGAUAUCCGGUUGAUGAAAAUCCACUCUACAACCCUACGAGUGGACCAGUCCAUCCUGACCGGAGAGUCGGUCUCGGUCAUCAAGCACACGGACGCAAUUCCAGACCCCCGUGCUGUCAACCAGGACAAGAAGAACAUUCUUUUUUCGGGUACCAACAUUGCAUCAGGAAAGGCUGUCGGCAUUGUCGUUGGCACUGGCCUUGAAACUGCCAUUGGUAAAAUCCGGACAGAAAUGACGGAGACGGAAGAAGUGAAGACCCCGCUGCAGCAGAAGUUGGACGAAUUUGGAGAGCAGCUCUCCAAGGUGAUCUCUGUGAUUUGCGUGGCGGUGUGGGCGAUCAACAUUGGACACUUCAACGACCCCGCUCACGGUGGCUCGUGGAUAAAGGGGGCCGUGUACUACUUCAAGAUUGCCGUAGCGCUAGCCGUGGCCGCCAUCCCCGAGGGCUUGCCGGCCGUCAUCACCACUUGCCUCGCCCUGGGCACGCGGCGCAUGGCCAAGAAGAAUGCCAUCGUGCGCUCCCUGCCCUCGGUCGAGACCCUCGGUUGCACGUCGGUCAUCUGCUCCGACAAGACUGGCACCCUCACUACCAACCAGAUGUCGGUAAGCCGCUUCUUCAUCCUCGACAAGGCUGACCCCGGCGACAUCAGCUUCCACGAGUUUGAGGUAACUGGCUCGACGUAUGAGCCCAUCGGUGAGGUCUUCAAGAACGGCGCCAAGGCCAACUGCGCAAACUACGAAGCCCUACACGAGCUGACCACCAUUUGUUGCAUGUGCAACGACUCCAGCAUUGACUUCAAUGAGUACAAGCAAGCCUUUGAAAAAGUGGGCGAGGCUACCGAGACUGCGCUGAUCGUGCUGGCUGAGAAGAUGAACCCCUUCGGAUUCGACAAGAGCGGCAAGUCCAGGCGUGACGCGGCGUUGACGGUCAACCACGGCGUGCAGGCAAUGUGGAAGAAGGAGUUCACUCUCGAGUUCUCCCGGGACCGCAAGUCUAUGAGCUCCUACUGCUCUCCCACGAGGGCUGCUGCCAACACCAAGCUUGGAACCGGACCCAAAAUGUUUGUGAAGGGGGCCCCAGAGGGUGUUCUUGAGCGGUGCAGCCACUGCAGGGUUGGCGACAAGAAGAUGGCCAUGUCGGGAGCUGUGAAACAGCGCAUCUUGGACCUUACGCGUACCUACGGCACCGGCCGCGACACACUGCGGUGCCUGGCCCUCGCCACCUUGGACAACCCACCCAAGCCGGAAGAGAUGGACCUUGGUGACUCCACGAAGUUUGCCACUUAUGAGGUGAACCUGACCUUUGUCGGCGUGGUGGGCAUGCUCGACCCUCCCCGGAAAGAAGUGUACGACUCCAUCAUGCGUUGCCGGGCUGCUGGCAUUCGGGUCAUCGUCAUCACGGGCGACAACAAGGGCACGGCCGAGGCCAUCUGCCGCCGCAUCGGCAUCUUCGAGGAGGAUGAGGACCCCACGGGCAUGUCCUACUCUGGCCGCGAGUUUGACGACCUACCCUUAGAGGAACAGAGACGAGCCGUCCAGAGGGCGCGGUUGUUCUCGAGAGUGGAGCCCGCCCACAAAAGCAAGAUCGUCGAGUUCCUCCAGGCCGACGGCGAGAUCUCUGCCAUGACCGGCGACGGCGUCAAUGAUGCUCCCGCUCUCAAGAAGGCCGAGAUUGGCAUUGCCAUGGGCUCGGGCACGGCGGUGGCCAAGUCCGCUUCGGAGAUGGUGCUGGCCGACGACAACUUCUCGAGCAUCGUGUCAGCCGUGGAGGAAGGUCGCGCCAUCUACAACAACAUGAAGCAGUUCAUCCGUUACCUGAUCUCGUCCAACAUUGGCGAGGUGGUGAGCAUCUUCCUGACAGCGGCGCUGGGCCUGCCCGAGGCCCUGAUCCCUGUGCAGCUGCUGUGGGUGAACCUGGUGACGGACGGCCUGCCCGCCACUGCCCUGGGCUUCAACCCCCCCGACCUGGACAUCAUGGAGCGGCCUCCCCGCAAGGCGGACGAGUCCCUCAUCUCAGGCUGGCUGUUCUUCCGGUACAUGGCCAUUGGGGGCUACGUGGGUGCAGCGACCGUGGGUGCAGCAGCCUGGUGGUACAUGGUGUGCCCAACGGGCCCUCACCUCAACUACUACCAGCUGACGCACCACUUGUCCUGCCUCACGGACAAGGAGAACUUCCGUGGCGUCGACUGCGCGGUCUUCCACGACCCGCACCCGAUGACCAUGGCCUUGUCCGUGCUCGUCACCAUUGAGAUGCUCAACGCCCUCAACAGCUUGUCCGAGAACCAGUCUCUCCUGGUGAUGCCUCCCUGGACCAACUUCUGGCUGGUGGCAGCCAUGACUCUUUCCAUGACACUUCACUUCGUUGUGCUGUACUGCGACAUCCUCAACACGGUGUUUUCGGUGUGCCCGCUGUCUGUGGCCGAGUGGUUUGCUGUCCUCAAGAUGUCCAUUCCGGUCAUCAUCCUCGACGAGACGAUGAAGUUCAUCGCCCGCAAGUUCAUCGAUGGUACACAGUAUUACUUUGAACUCUCCAUCCUGAUGGGCACCUGGGUGGGAUUCCUGGCCAUUGUCCUCUACUGCCCAAUCUGAGCAAAAACAAACUCCUCCUCAUCACGGACUGGAGCGAGGAGGAAAGGGCCUGGCCUUUUCUCUCUCUCUCUCUCUCCCUCCUUAACUGCCCUCCCAUCUAUGCCACCACCCUUUCCCUCCUUUUUUUUUUCCUCGGAACGCCUCCAGCUGGAUUGUUGUGGUUCUGUUUACUUCAUCUCCUCUUGCUCUGCCACCCCUCAUCAACUUCAUUGAAUACCUUGACUUCUCCUUGCUCUCCCUGUGAUGCGUUUGGGACUGCUGCUGCUGUUGCUGCUCCUCGGCCAGACUACCAACACUGAACUGACCUUUCUCGCCUCCUCUCUCUCCCUCGUGCUAGUUUUUUUUUUUUUUUCUCCUAGUUGACAGUUUUGAAUGCCCCCCCUCCCCUACUACCGAAUGUCGUAGCAAGUGCCCCUCGUGCGCUGUGAUCCCACCUUUCUGGUGGCAGCUGCACUGUCAACUUAACGUUUCUGCAGAAGGGGCAUCUCCGUACUUCUCUUUUUUUGAGCCCUGUCCCGUAAAGUUCAAGAAUCGGCGAGACCCUAAAAGGCAUUUGCCUCGUGUCAGUGCAAUUAAGACGCAAUGUGCUCGUUGUGUGGGUAGACUUGUGCUCCGAAAUGACUGGUGUUGUCGAUGGCCGUGCAGCUGCCACUUGGAAUCGGCUGGAUGACGAGGGGCCUCGCUACUGGUGUGACUGGUCUUGUUCGUAGCACAAGUUGGCAGGGUGUUUGUGCGACGCAAAGAAGUUUUCCAUCGAGGAGGAGGAGGGGAGCGACGCUGCCGCUGUUGUGGCAUGCGGUCUUUCAGUUGUCUCUUCGUAUCUCUGUCACUCCAGCGCAUUCUAUCGGUGUCCUAGUGGCUAGCCUUAAAGUGAGUCUUAAAAUGCUAUCUAGGCAGCGCGGGAGCUUCGUUUCUUUUUAGCUUCAGCGGUCAGGUGGGGUUGCCUUCGAGGUCGCAACAUGGGCUACGGAUUUGUCCCUUGUUGUCUGGCUUGCCUUGUAAAUAGCCGACAGAAACUGGUCGUUGCUCGUUUCGAAGGCCAGUACGUACACUGUCACAGCCAUCUCUAUCUCUCUGUCUCUCUUUACGCUAACCUGCGUAUCCUAGCUUGUACGUCUUACUGCAAGAUUCGUGUGGUUCGAUCCUCGGCCCAUUCGUAUUUUGUUCCCGUUUCUCCCAUUAUUUCCUUUUUUUUUCUCUGACUAAUUGCGCGACGAAGGUAGGAGGAAGACCUUAGGCCGCGCGUCAGGUUGUAGAGUGAUCUGGUCUUGUUGGCAUCGCCGUUUAAUUGCUUUGCGGUGAGGCUGGCAGUUUCCGUGCCGCGGUCGGCUGCGUUUUUUGUUGAGUUUGAUGGAUUUCGAGACCGCGCGUUGGCUUUUUCGCAUUGUUAAUCGCUGGUGCUGCUGCUGCUGUCGUGGUGGAAAGGACGGGAAGUGGUGGCAGCUUUUGUGUACAGAAGUGUUUGUUGUGUGUGCCGCAUUGUCAGGAAGCAGUCAGCCCUUCUUUUUUCGUUCGUCUCUCGUCCUCGCUUUGUGGCAUCGUGUAGCGGCUGCGCCGACUCUUGUUUCGUCAACAUCGUUGUUUGUCGGAUUUUUUUUUAUCUAUAUCUUUGUUUUUUGUGAAAGUGCUGCAGAUGUAGAGACACUGUGUGGAGUGCUUUCUUUCUCUUUUUUUUUUUAAUGACACUACCGAAUGGGGAAAAAAGUGAGCAGGGGGCUUGAAAAGCGGAGACAAGUGUCAUCAAUAAAACCAAGAUGAAGAAGAAAAAAAAAGUACUUUUCUUGAC